GCCUGUGUGGUGGAGUGGUUUAAGUACUGGACUAUGACUCUGGAGACCAAGGUUCAAAUUCUGGCUCUGCCA